GGGUUGUGAGGUUAAGCGACUAAGCGUACACGGUGGAUGCCCUGGCAGUCAGAGGCGAUGAAGGACGUGCUAAUCUGCGAAAAGCGUCGGUAAGGUGAUAUGAACCGUUAUAACCGGCGAUGUCCGAAUGGGGAAACCCAGUGUGAUUCGUCACACUAUCGUUAACUGAAUACAUAGGUUAACGAGGCGAACCGGGGGAACUGAAACAUCUAAGUACCCCGAGGAAAAGAAAUCAACCGAGAUUCCCCCAGUAGCGGCGAGCGAACGGGGAGCAGCCCAGAGUCUGAAUCAGCUUGUGUGUUAGUGGAACGGUCUGGAAAGUCCGACGGUACAGGGUGAUAGUCCCGUACACCAAAAUGCACAGGUUGUGAACUCGAAGAGUAGGGCGGGACACGUGGUAUCCUGUCUGAAUAUGGGGGGACCAUCCUCCAAGGCUAAAUACUCCUGACUGACCGAUAGUGAACCAGUACCGUGAGGGAAAGGCGAAAAGAACCCCGGCGAGGGGAGUGAAAAAGAACCUGAAACCGUGUACGUACAAGCAGUGGGAGCACCUUCGGGUGUGACUGCGUACCUUUUGUAUAAUGGGUCAGCGACUUAUAUUCUGUAGCAAGGUUAACCGUAUAGGGGAGCCGCAGGGAAACCGAGUCUUAACUGGGCGUUAAGUUGCAGGGUAUAGACCCGAAACCCGGUGAUCUAGCCAUGGGCAGGUUGAAGGUUGGGUAACACUAACUGGAGGACCGAACCGACUAAUGUUGAAAAAUUAGCGGAUGACUUGUGGCUGGGGGUGAAAGGCCAAUCAAACCGGGAGAUAGCUGGUUCUCCCCGAAAGCUAUUUAGGUAGCGCCUCGUGAACUCAUCUUCGGGGGUAGAGCACUGUUUCGGCUAGGGGGUCAUCCCGACUUACCAACCCGAUGCAAACUACGAAUACCGAAGAAUGUUAUCACGGGAGACACACGGCGGGUGCUAACGUCCGUCGUGAAGAGGGAAACAACCCAGACCGCCAGCUAAGGUCCCAAAGUCAUGGUUAAGUGGGAAACGAUGUGGGAAGGCACAGACAGCCAGGAUGUUGGCUUAGAAGCAGCCAUCAUUUAAAGAAAGCGUAAUAGCUCACUGGUCGAGUCGGCCUGCGCGGAAGAUGUAACGGGGCUAAACCAUGCACCGAAGCUGCGGCAGCGACACGAUGUGUUGUUGGGUAGGGGAGCGUUCUGUAAGCCUGCGAAGGUGACCUGUGAGGGUUGCUGGAGGUAUCAGAAGUGCGAAUGCUGACAUAAGUAACGAUAAAGCGGGUGAAAAGCCCGCUCGCCGGAAGACCAAGGGUUCCUGUCCAACGUUAAUCGGGGCAGGGUGAGUCGACCCCUAAGGCGAGGCCGAAAGGCGUAGUCGAUGGGAAACAGGUUAAUAUUCCUGUACUUGGUGUUACUGCGAAGGGGGGACGGAGAAGGCUAUGUUAGCCGGGCGACGGUUGUCCCGGUUUAAGCAUGUAGGCUGGUUAUCCAGGCAAAUCCGGAUAAUCAAGGCUGAGGUGUGAUGACGAGGUACUACGGUGCUGAAGUAACAAAUGCCCUGCUUCCAGGAAAAGCCUCUAAGCAUCAGGUAACAUCAAAUCGUACCCCAAACCGACACAGGUGGUCAGGUAGAGAAUACCAAGGCGCUUGAGAGAACUCGGGUGAAGGAACUAGGCAAAAUGGUGCCGUAACUUCGGGAGAAGGCACGCUGGUGUGUAGGUGAAGUCCCUGCGGAUGGAGCUGAGACCAGUCGAAGAUACCAGCUGGCUGCAACUGUUUAUUAAAAACACAGCACUGUGCAAACACGAAAGUGGACGUAUACGGUGUGACGCCUGCCCGGUGCCGGAAGGUUAAUUGAUGGGGUUAUCCGUAAGGAGAAGCUCUUGAUCGAAGCCCCGGUAAACGGCGGCCGUAACUAUAACGGUCCUAAGGUAGCGAAAUUCCUUGUCGGGUAAGUUCCGACCUGCACGAAUGGCGUAAUGAUGGCCAGGCUGUCUCCACCCGAGACUCAGUGAAAUUGAACUCGCUGUGAAGAUGCAGUGUACCCGCGGCAAGACGGAAAGACCCCGUGAACCUUUACUAUAGCUUGACACUGAACAUUGAGCCUUGAUGUGUAGGAUAGGUGGGAGGCUUUGAAGCGUGGACGCCAGUCUGCGUGGAGCCAACCUUGAAAUACCACCCUUUAAUGUUUGAUGUUCUAACGUUGGCCCCUUACCGGGGUUGCGGACAGUGUCUGGUGGGUAGUUUGACUGGGGCGGUCUCCUCCCAAAGCGUAACGGAGGAGCACGAAGGUUAGCUAAUCCUGGUCGGACAUCAGGAGGUUAGUGCAAUGGCAUAAGCUAGCUUGACUGCGAGCGUGACGGCGCGAGCAGGUGCGAAAGCAGGUCAUAGUGAUCCGGUGGUUCUGAAUGGAAGGGCCAUCGCUCAACGGAUAAAAGGUACUCCGGGGAUAACAGGCUGAUACCGCCCAAGAGUUCAUAUCGACGGCGGUGUUUGGCACCUCGAUGUCGGCUCAUCACAUCCUGGGGCUGAAGUAGGUCCCAAGGGUAUGGCUGUUCGCCAUUUAAAGUGGUACGCGAGCUGGGUUUAGAACGUCGUGAGACAGUUCGGUCCCUAUCUGCCGUGGGCGCUGGAGAAUUGAGGGGGGCUGCUCCUAGUACGAGAGGACCGGAGUGGACGCAUCACUGGUGUUCGGGUUGUCAUGCCAAUGGCACUGCCCGGUAGCUAAAUGCGGAAGAGAUAAGUGCUGAAAGCAUCUAAGCACGAAACUUGCCCCGAGAUGAGUUCUCCCUGAGACU
rnacentral:rRNA from 1 species